GCUGCCCCAGACAGGGAGAGCUUCCCAGGGCGGCACAGAGCAGCACUGGCUGUCUGUGCCUCCCCCGCACACCCAGCAGGAGCCACGGAAGCUCGAACCGCUGUGAGCCACUGACCCCAGUGAGGCCCCAGUCCCGCGGGGGUACCGGGUGGGCCUGCCCUUCCUUCAGGCAACCUGGAGGCUGGAAAGGAGGAAGCCCCGCAGGUCUCCUUCACUGUUCCCGAUGAAGUGAGAGGAAAAGGGCGGAGCUGGUGUCCCGAGCAGGUGUCCCCAGGACAUCUGCACACUCCCAAUGACAGCCCUCGCCAGGGAGCACACCCCGCGACCCCACUGCUCGCCAGAACCAGUCUCCAGGGACCGCACUUGGGGCUGAGAACAGGCUCACGUCAGGGGUGACCGCUGGAGCCACCUGCGCCCAGGCCUAAGCCCACAGAUGCCCGGGCACCCGGGACGCCCAGGAGCACCAGUUAACAUCACUAGGCGGCCACAGAGACGGGACGGAGCAGCAAGAGAGCGCGAAGACCUGUCUGCAGGUGGCACCGCAGCCCCAGGCCCAGCACUCAGAGCCCCACAAAGGCAGCAGGGGACAUCAGAUGCUGAACCGGAGAAGGGGUGAGGUGCUGGUGUCCAACAGGCCCUGCCGCCUGUGAGGACCAGCACUGACGCCUCGGGAACCCGGGGCCAGCAUGUCCCCCACAGUGGCCGGGCCUCAGCUUCCUCUCAGCCCCUCCGGGCUCGCUUCUGCAGCAGCCACCCUGACUGACGCUAACUCUUGCUGUUCUGAGAAGUCCCCUCCAGAGCACAGGCAAGGCACAGAGCAGGGGAUCAGGCGCGGGUGGGGUCACACUGGGCCAGUCCUGUGACUCAGUUUCUUUUUACUCUGUUGUGGCUGGCUGCGCUUUCUUUGUGGCCCGCGGAGCCCUGGGCACUUGCCUUCUGGUAAACCAGGUAGUGAAAAGAUUGCCCUGGUUGUGUUCCA